rnacentral:tRNA from 1 species
AUUUAAAUAAUUUAAUAAAAAUAUUGAUUUGUGGUAUCAAAAAUGCGAAUAAAAUUUGCUUUAAAUC